rnacentral:rRNA from 1 species
GUUGUAUGGUUAAGUGACUAAGCGUACACGGUGGAUGCCUUGGCAGUCAGAGGCGAUGAAGGACGUAUUAACUUGCGAUAAGCCCAGAGAAGGUAGUAAAAACCGGUGACUCUGGGAUUUCCGAAUGGGGAAACCCACGUGCAUAAGCACGUAUCGUGUUGUGAAUACAUAGCAGCACGAGGCGAACCGGGGGAACUGAAACAUCUAAGUACCCCGAGGAAGAGAAAUCAACCGAGAUUCCGGUAGUAGCGGCGAGCGAAACCGGAUUAGCCCUUAAGCUAGUUUUGCGUUAGGUGAAAGUUCUGGAAAGUUCUGCGAUACAGGGUGAUAGCCCCGUAACCGACAACGCAUUAUCAGUGAAAACGAGUAGGACGGGACACGUGAUAUCCUGUUUGAAUAUGGGGGGACCAUCCUCCAAGGCUAAAUACUCCUGACUGACCGAUAGUGAACCAGUACCGUGAGGGAAAGGCGAAAAGAACCCCUGUGAGGGGAGUGAAAUAGAACCUGAAACCGUGUACGUACAAGCAGUAGGAGCCUACUUGUUAGGUGACUGCGUACCUUUUGUAUAAUGGGUCAGCGACUUAAUUUUAGUAGCAAGGUUAACCGUUUAGGGGAGCCGUAGGGAAACCGAGUCUUAACUGGGCGUCAUAGUUGCUAGGAUUAGACCCGAAACCGAGUGAUCUAGCCAUGGGCAGGUUGAAGGUGAGGUAACACUUACUGGAGGACCGAACCGACUAAUGUUGAAAAAUUAGCGGAUGACUUGUGGCUAGGGGUGAAAGGCCAAUCAAACUCGGAGAUAGCUGGUUCUCCCCGAAAGCUAUUUAGGUAGCGCCUCGGACGAAUACUACUGGGGGUAGAGCACUGUUAAGGCUAGGGGGUCAUCCCGACUUACCAACCCUUUGCAAACUCCGAAUACCAGUAAGUACUAUCCGGGAGACACACGGCGGGUGCUAACGUCCGUCGUGAAGAGGGAAACAACCCAGACCGCCAGCUAAGGUCCCAAAGUUAUAGCUAAGUGGGAAACGAUGUGGGAAGGCUCAGACAGCCAGGAUGUUGGCUUAGAAGCAGCCAUCAUUUAAAGAAAGCGUAAUAGCUCACUGGUCGAGUCGGCCUGCGCGGAAGAUUUAACGGGGCUAAGCUAUACACCGAAGCUGCGGCAAUGAAGUUUUACUUCAUUGGGUAGGGGAGCGUUCUGUAAGCCGUUGAAGGUGAAUCGUAAGGUUUGCUGGAGGUAUCAGAAGUGCGAAUGCUGACAUGAGUAACGAUAAAGGGAGUGAAAAACUCCCUCGCCGGAAGAUCAAGGGUUCCUGUCCAACGUUAAUCGGGGCAGGGUAAGUCGACCCCUAAGGCGAGGCCGAAAGGCGUAGUCGAUGGGAAACGGGUUAAUAUUCCCGUACUUCUUAUAAUUGCGAUGGAGGGACGGAGAAGGCUAGGUGAGCCUGGCGACGGUUGUCCAGGUCCAAGUAUGUAGGCUGAUGGUUUAGGCAAAUCCGGACCAUCUUAAGGCUGAGAUACGAUGUCGAGU